rnacentral:rRNA from 1 species
AAGGCGACGAUGCGUAGCCGACCUGAGAGGGUGAUCGGCCACACUGGGACUGAGACACGGCCCAGACUCCUACGGGAGGCAGCAGUAGGGAAUCUUCCGCAAUGGGCGAAAGCCUGACGGAGCAAUGCCGCGUGAGUGAUGAAGGUUUUCGGAUCGUAAAGCUCUGUUGCCAGGGAAGAACGUCCUUGAGAGUAACUGCUCAAGGAGUGACGGUACCUGAGAAGAAAGCCCCGGCUAACUACGUGCCAGCAGCCGCGGUAAUACGUAGGGGGCAAGCG